AGUAGAGCACCCUGUUGGGGAACAACAGAGGUGAGAGUGUAUGAAUCGCUCAAUCCCUACUUCGUUCAUUCUCCAACAUAUUGCGCUACUUGCGCACAUAAAACGCCUUCAGAGAGUCGAGUAUGUUAUCAGCACACACAAAAUAUUCGUCACAACAAUUGCUGCAGACGCAGCUGAAGGCGAAUUGCUUUUGCACAUGAAACGCCUUCAGACAGUCAAGUAUGUAAUGAGCUGAAAUCAGCACGCGCAACAUAUUCGUAACAACAAUUGCUGCAGACGCAGCAGAAGGCGAAUUGAUCAGAGUCUGCAUGUAACGAGAAGGUAUGUAUUCGAUCGAAUUGAACCAAUUGAACGAAAAAUAAAAACGUGAACCGAUCAACGCAGACUCAAUGGACACAUUAAAAAAAAGCUGAUCAAAAUCAGUAGAAAAUAAUUGCAUUUCCCGUGAAAAUUUCAAAUUGCAAAUAUUGUCGAAACUAGGGUCAUAGCCAAGAUUUUGAUUUUUCGCGAUUAAAAGUCCAUCCGUACCAUAGACUCAUCCCCUGCAAACCGUUUUGAGUAAAUUUUUGUCGCAUUAUUUUUUUGCUUCAAGGCCAUUGCGCAUGAGCCCCAGAAAGCAAGGCCAUAAACGAGGAGUGAGGCGCAACUUGGAUUGGUGCAUGCAUACGCUGUUUUAUCGUCUAUCACUCUCGCACUCAUUGAUCAGAUGCGGCAUUCUUCAGCUCGACAAAGGGACACCUGGAAAGGAAAAAUGAGUUGGUUUGAUGCUGCUGGUAUUGCUAACUUGGCAAAGACAGCCCUCAAAGAAGCUCAAAAAACAAUUGACAAAGCCCUUGACAUAACCGAAGAAGAAGAAGAAACUGUCGGUGCCACGAAGGAUUCCUCAGAGGAAAUGCCAUCAGCGAGUAUUGAAACCAGUGGAGAUGACAUAUUUUCAAGCUGGAAUGUGCUCGAAGGAAAAAAGUCAAAGUCAGCUCCAAACAUUGAAUCCGUCACAACAUCUCAACCUGCUAAAAGUCUUUCCACAAGCACCAGCUUGUGGGGAUCAUUUGCUGGUUCGUUCUUUGAUCAGAAGUCGUCCGAAUCAGGUAACAAAAUCCUCAUCUUUUUAAAAAGUCAUCUCAAAAUUAUCUCUUUUUCAUUGUUUCAAGGACUUUCUAAAAUGGAUUGCCACUUCAGAAAUUUG
rnacentral:lncRNA from 1 species